CCCGGGACGGCGGGCAGAGCGCGGCGGGCUGUGCAGGACCGCGUCUUCUUUCGGAUGCUGGCAAUCGGACGAGUCCCUCCGCUUGCCAGCCCCGUCUCAGCCCCCAGGAAAUGGAGUAAGGGCAGAAAUUACGAGAGAGAGCGACUCCCUCCUCAGGGAAGAAACAUUAGAAGUGCGAACGCGUUUCCUCCGCCAUCAGCUUCUGCGUCCCCCUCUCCAGGCUGGCGGUGUCUGUGUGGAGGAGUGAACGUGAGGCCAGAGGCAGAGAGAAGGCUCUGCAGGGUCGCCACUUGCUUGCCAGGCUGCCUUGUGGUUAGACCCUCUCUCUGCUGCAACCUCGUCGUCUCGGCUUUCCAGGCCACCGGCCAAACCGAACCUGGUUCAGUAAGAAGACUGGCCCAGUGCAGGUCCCCUCAGCUGGACCACUGCCUUCCACCCCCGGCCCCCGGCUCAUCACCCACCCUGUCUUUCUAGUGGUGCAACAGCACGGGCUGAGACGGGCCUUGGCGCCAGGGAGGCCUGCUUUCAAACCCCAGCUGGUCGCCGGACCUCUCUGGACCUCAGUCUCUUCCUUGCAAAAUGAGGACACCUCACAGGGGGCUUUGCCCUCCACUGCUGCCAGAGGGCAUGGCCUCCUGCAGCGUCCCCUGAGCACAGGCCAAGUGCACCGCCUCGUCCCGUGAGGGCCCGUCCCUGCGCCCUGCUCGCUGCAGGGCCGCAGGACAGUGAGCCUGCAGGAGGUGCUCGGGCCUUCAAGAGCCAGCUCCGCCCCUUGCAGGGCCAGCCCAGCCCCGGAGCCUCUUUCCCCAGGGCCCCUGAGGUGCGGUGGGCACUGGAGCUGCGCCCCUGGACCUGCCACCCUGGCCGAGCCGCUGAGCAGGCCUGCUGGCUCGGCUUCUCCUCCUCUCCCGCCAGCCAGCCUGCCCCUCGGCCAUCCUGUGAGGGGCCGCAUGACAAUGUGCCCUCUGCGCCUGGGUCCCAUGCCACCCGGCUUGUGAUCACAGUGCGUUCUGCAGCCUUGCAGAGAGCAGCUGAGCCACGUAUCCAAUGGCAAAUAAACAGCACCGCCCAGCCCUCGGGGACACCUGUCCAGCCCAGGGCCCGGCAGGAAUGUGCCUCUGCCGUGGGAGCUCUUUCCUGUUUUGAACAGUUUCAGGCAAGUGCAGGCCAGGCUCUUAUCAAAGAACGCAGUUGCCUUUGGAAAGGAUCCUGUUCCUUAACCACUGGGGACGGGGACGUAAACAAGCACAACUGGAGACACACAGUGAGGGCACAUUGUUUACGACUCUAAAUAUUUCAUCACACCGACUCCUAAAAAUAGCCCCGGCGUAGUGCAGACACCAUUGGGAAGUCGUGGAAAAGUUCAUGUUUUCCUGGAAGAGGCGGGAAACAGAACAGCGCAGCCAGUGCAGCGGCUCCUUCGCAGGACGCGUUUCCUCGAGGACUCGCUCGCCCUGGAAAGGUGGAAGAUGACCUCGGCCUGCGGCCGCUGGGCGCUGUGCAGCCCUCCGUUGGAGGAGAACUAGAAGCACCAAGACACAUUUGGAAACUUUGGCUGUAAAACCAAGGCUUUGACUGGAAUGUCAUAUUUGAGAGAAACAUACAGACUCAGAUAGGACAAGACAGCUUUUGAGGAAUAAAGGUUGACUUCCUGGAAUGAAGCCACUUGGAAGUAUUGGCCUGGUACCCUGUUUACAAGGAUUCCAGUAACCUGAAAACACUCCUUAUUAACUACCUGGUUACUUGCUAACACAAUAUAGGCUGAACUUUGGGAGCCCACCUGCAUCACCAUCUUACUAAGAGACUGGUUCAAUGAGAUGGAAACAACCUAUGCCCCUGAUCAGCAGGAUAAUCUCUCAAGAUUGAAGAUGAACAACAAAAGGGGGGAUUGAUACCAGUCAACACAAGGUUGACAUAAGGGAAGCCAUAUUGUAAAAAAGAAACCACAUUGUAACCUUGAAUGACCUCUGAUUAACUAACCCAGACAUGCUUUGUAGAUUUAAUGGACCCUCCCAGCUGCUAUGAGUUGGUAACUUUGUUCUUCUGAGUUCCUUAGGAAUGUGAUGACCCUCAGGAAGAGAGUCUGUGCUGAUGGCCAUCAUCAAUGACAACGGAAAGAUCAGCGUAUAGGCCAUUGCUCUGGUCUCUGAUGCAUAUCCAGUAAAACAAAAGACUAUCAGGACCUGAGACCAGAUGUCUGCCCCACCCAGAGACCAGAUGGAGCCCCCACUGGGAUUAGGUCUAUUUUUCAGGGAUUGUUAAAAUUUGGGUUGUCUAUACUUCUUAUCCUUCUGGUUGGACACAUGAUUAUAAAAUGUGCUUUUCAGAUGUUUUAGAUGUGGAACAAGAUACAAAAUUCUCAUAAUACAAAAACAUCAACAUGAAGCUGGAAACGAGAGUAUUUCCAAAUAAGUGCUAAACAGUUUCAUUUCUUUAGCCCGGAUCUAGGCCCCAAUUCAGCAGGAAGCAGCUAGAUUGGUUGUUGCCCCAAAUCCCUCAAAAAUGAGGAAUGACUAAAGAAUAGCAGAGAUUGAAACCAGCAAACAGCCAUUGAUGAUCAGGUAGCUAGGCACUAAAGUUUUUUCCUUUUGCAGUUACUGAUUAUAGCUUUUAGCUGUUUAACCCACCCACCCACUGUCAACUGUGCUGUUUAGGCAAUAUGUUCUCUGACUCUCGCUAGGCUCCUAUAGAUAGCAUCUCCCUGGAGCCUGGGUCUCCAUGGUAAUGGGUGUGUGAGGUGUUCUUCAGGAAUUAGAACUCCUUGUCCACUCCAGGCCAAUUGAGACCACCAACCCAACUGGGCCCAUUCAGCAGUCUGAGAGGCGACUUUUUGACACCAAGAGGCUAAAAACACCACCCUCAGAUCAUGCUAAUGCUGCCAUUUUGUGAACACGGGUCCUAUGAAGAGGUGUGGAGUCUGACUAUGCUUGCGCAGAUCA
rnacentral:lncRNA from 1 species